GACGAACGCUGGCGGCGUGCCUAAUACAUGCAAGUAGAACGCUGAAGGAGGAGCUUGCUUCUCCGGAUGAGUUGCGAACGGGUGAGUAACGCGUAGGUAACCUGCCUGGUAGCUGGGGAUAACUAUUGGAAACGAUAGCUAAUACCGCAUAAGAGUAGAUGUCGCAUGACAUUUGCUUAAAAGGUGCAACUGCACCACUACCAGAUGGACCUGCGUUGUAUUAGCUAGUUGGUGAGGUAACGGCUCACCAAGGCAACGAUACAUAGCCGACCUGAGAGGGUGAUCGGCCACACUGGGACGGAGACACGGCCCAGACUCCUACGGGAGGCAGCAGUAGGGAAUCUGCGGCAAGGGACGGAAGACUGACCGAGAAACGCCGAGUGAGGGAAGAAGGGUGUCGGAUCGUAAAGGUCUGUUGUAAGAGAAGAAAGAGUGUGAGAGUGGAAAGUUCACAGUGUGACGGUAUCUUACCAGAAAGGGACGGCUAACUACGUG
rnacentral:rRNA from 1 species